AGGCAGGAAGAGAGGGAGCAAGGGAGGGAAAGAGGGAAGGAAAAGGAGAGGGAGAGGGAGGGAGAGAGGGAGGAAGGGAGGGAGGAAGGGAGGGAGAGGGAGAGGGAGGGCGGGAGAGAGGGAGGGAGAGGGAGAGAGGGAGGGAGAGGGAGAGAGGGAGGGAUCUUCCCACCUGCUGGUUCACUUCCUAAAUCUCUGCAACAGCCAGGGUUGGAUGAUGCCACAGCCAGGAGCCCGGAACUCCAUCCAGGGACCCAAGCACGUGCGUCAUCAUCUACUGCCUCCUGGGGCGCACAUUAGCAGGAAGCUGGAAGCAGAGCCAGGAUGAAACCAGGCACUCCAAGCGGUGUCUCAACCACUGAGCCAAAUGCCCGCCCAGUUUGUUCCUGUGUAAUUGUUCCGUCAGAAGUGUGAAAGCUGAAAAGAUGCGAUGUCUACAGUGUUGGCUGUAACUUCUGUUGCUGAUCAUCGGUUCCUCUUCAAUUAAGGCCUGAACAUGAAUUUGUCCUUGAGAAUUGAUGUGGAUGGUCUGUCCCUGCAGGCUUCCUUUGUCGCAUCAUUUCUUAACAUGAGUUCUCCGUUUGUAAACUGCUGGUUAUACAGGGGGGAAGUGUGGACACAGACAUGCACGCGGUCGAGAAUGCCACGUGAGGCCGAAGGCAGAGAAGGAGGUGGGGAGCUUCCAGAACCCAGAGAACACCAAGGACUGCCAGCAGCCGUGAGGGCCUAAGAGGAACACAGAACGGUCUCCUUGCUGGGCCUCAGGGAGACAACCGCUCCAACCCCUUGAUCUCACACUUCGGCCUUCGGAACGGUGAGACAGUCCAUGCCUGUGUUUCAGCCGCCGGUCUGUGGCAUUUUGUUAUGGCAGCCCCAGCCCACCAGGACACCUCCCCAGGGAUGGAGUGUGCUCAACACUCGGGACAGGAACCUUGCUCAGCUGGCAAAGCUGCGGAGGACCUGUCUGAUCUGGGAGACGAUUUGAGAAAAGUCCAGCCAAGUUUUGUCCCCACCCCCCAGUCUCUGAUCAAUCACCAGGAAGACUGUGCCUUGUGGGGGAGCAGACGCUACCUAAUGGCCUUGCCGAUGGAGUGGAGCAGCAGAGACGGCCCUCGAAAGACCUCCACUGGAAUUGGAGCCCGUUUUUACGUAUUUGUCUUAAAUUGACAAACUUGGCCAUCAGCAGAGCUACUGUGUGGUGGUACUCUCUGUAGAACCAUUCGUGGCCGGCGCCGAGGCUCACUAGGCUAAUCCUUCCUGCCUUGCGGCACUGGCACACCGGGUUCUAGUCCCGGUCGGGGCACCAGAUUCUGUCCUGGUUGCCCCUCUUCCAGGCCAGCUCUCUGCUGUGGCCCGGGAGUGCAGUGGAGGAUGGCCCAAGUGCUUGGGCCCUGCACCCCAUGGGAGACCAGGAUAAGUACCUGGCUCCUGCCAUUGGAUCAGCACGAUGCGCCGGCCGCAGUGGCCAUUGGAGGGUGAACCAACGGCAAAGGAAGACCUUUCUCUCUGUCUCUCUCUCUCACUGUCCACUCUGCCUGUCAAAAAAAUAAAUAAUAAUAAUAAUAAAAAAAGAACCA
ensembl:lncRNA